UCUGGGGUGUGUGGUCACCUCUGCUGCUCAUGCUUGUGAUCUGGUUCCGAUCGGAUUGUGAGUGUGGCCGGUGUAGUGGCUGUUCAUCCUUUCUGCCGUGUCUGUGCAAACGGGUGCUGACUGGGUUUGCGGGGCAACCUGCUUACCUGUUCGGCAUGCUUUCAGAUGCCUUUAACAGGGUGUCGGGAGCGGACGGCAUAUUUACUUUGAACAAAUUUGAGUGCUCAAAGCAGGCCCAUGUGCCUGAAAAUUCUUGCAUGGAAUAAUGAAAUAGGACUUCGGUUCUAUUUUGUUGGUUUUCGGAUCCGAAGUAAUGG
rnacentral:rRNA from 1 species